rnacentral:rRNA from 1 species
CCACUACCUAAGCAUACAUGCAUUUUGUUUCGAUACCAGUUUUAAUAUUCAUGCCUACCUAUAUGUAAUUUUCAAGUUCUGUCACAUGAAUCUUCUUACAUUUCACUUUUAAGAUUACACAUCAUUCCCUGAAACAUACUUUUUAAAGAAAACAAUAUCAGUAACACACUGUCUUCUUGUCAUAACAAUCACUACAAAAUCUACUAUAUUUUUCGAUGUCUCACUUGUGUCACGUAAAAUCACUACUAAAUGUAUUGGUGAUAGUUUUCGGCCAUCACACCCACCGUCCUAAAAAAUUUAUUUACGGUACCAAUUCCUCCGUCACACAAGAUCGUGUCUUAGGUGACGAACCCAAGAUUGUCAAUGAUGGCCGUUUUCGGCGAGUGGUGCGUCUUGGGCGCAUCUAUAAUUUUUUAUUGCUUCAUGCAAUUAUCUUACUACUUCUAUAUAUUUUUCGCAACAACUUAUAUUAGUUUCUGGACGAACUAAUUAAUCUAGUGCCCAGUGUUAGUUCCUUAUUUUGCAUGUUUUUUCUAUCGCGGAAAUCCAUAUUCAGGAGGAUCCAAACACCGUGAAAAUUUACGCAAGAAUCAAUGCAAGCCAUGGGGGCAUGAGCUUCACAAGCUCAGGGGGCGCCCCCCUAGGGCGCGCCAUGUACACUUUUAUCCAUGUCGUAAGUUGGUUGGAGGUGCCCUUUGGCUGCAAGGAAGUUAGCACUAAAGAAAUCAGGAAGUUUGCCAUCAUGCAAGUACAGACGGCAAAGGCUGAAGUACAGAUGGCAAAGAUUUUGCCGUCAGCCUGCUGACGGCAAAGAUUGUGGGCAAAGCUAAAUAGGCAAAGGGUACUUUGCCGUCAGCCAAACUACCUCUUUGCCAUCUUCCCUCUAACCCACAGGCGGCAAAUUAAAGUAUUUUUGCCGUAGGCAAUAAUACCUCUUUGUUGUCCUCCCUUGAACACAAAGACGGCAAACUUUUUUUAUUAUUAAAAAACAUGGAUGUUCGUUCUUGUUUGUAGGUUCGGCGUUCAUCAUGUUCAUGUACAUCAGUUCGUCAUCAUUGUCAUGCUUGGUGUUCGUGUCCAUAGUUGAAGUCGCACAAGAAUGGAGGAGACGCUGUUCGCCCUGCCUGCUCCUGCCCGCAACACCAAUCGAAGGGAGGAGACACUGGCGGCCCUUCCCUUACCAGCCUCCCGCGCCGUUCCGCACCGGCAGUGCCUUCUCUGCACGCCCGUCGCUCACGUCGCCCGCCCAACACUCGUGCUGCCCACCGUGCGUCGCUCGCAGCGGCCUCCCACGCAGGCCUCCCUGCUCGCAUCGGCCCGCAGAGGCACGCUCGUCCGCGCCCUGCUAGCGCUGCUUGCGCGUCGUUGAUAAGUCUCCGACGUAUCUAUAAUUUUGUAUUGUUCCAUGCUAUUAUAUUAUCAUUUUUGGAUGUUUUACAAUUAUUUUAUAGCAAGUUCAUAUCAUUCUUUGGGACUAACCUGUUGACUUAAAGGAAUCAAACAACUAGUUUAGAAUGUUAUAUUGUUAUUUUUGCUCUAUACAUGAUUUUACGUGUUGUGCUAAAGACUUUAAACACCUUCCCUAGCAAUGUGUGUUUAAUGAUGAUAAAAUCUCGACUUCUUAAGUUAAUGGUGUUUAUGAUUAUUAUGGUAUUAAACAGAUUGAAAAUUUGUUGUUUUCAAUUAUGAAAUUGCUUUUUUGCUUGAAAAAUAUGAAUCCAACUUAUACCAGUCUAUUAAUACUUAUAUUAAGUAAGUUUUCGUUGUUAAAAAAAUUUAGAUAAAAAGAUGAGUAGGAGAGUGAAGAACAAAAAGAGAAAUAACAAAUUGGCUAAAAAAUGUCAUGAAAUUUACACGAAAAUAAAUGUUUGUAAACGAAAAUAAAUUUACACAGGAAUUUUCGUUUGGACGAAAAUUGUAACAAGCGCUCGCCAGGAAUUCCGGGCAACGACGGCAACAACACACCUCACAAACUAGCUGCUGACUACUAUGGCUCGGCGUAGCGCUUGCCACACGGUUCCCGCGGUCACAUAGCAGCCGGUGCCAAAGAAGAUGCGGCCGCGUGCACAUCCUUUACCCUUUCGGCAUCGUCAAUUCGCCGGAUGACGGCCACUGCGCCAUGAAUGGCUUCGGCCUGACAUGAAUGGCGACGGCCACUGUGCCCAUGAAUUCCGAUAAGGGAGAAGAGUGAAGGAAUAGAGAGGUAGCAGCGUAUUACGUCGUCGUCGUCGUCGUCAUUGACGUUGACGAGGAAGAAACACGAUCCUGCCGAGUCCAAUGUCGCCAUCCCGCACGGCGGUGCAAACACGCCAUCGUCGAGCUGCCUAGGUCGUUGUGGUUAAUAAGAGACGCCGGAACAAAAACGCAAGUACUCCUUCCGUAAACUAAUAUAAAAGCAUUUAGAUCAUUAUUUUAGUUAUCUAAACGCUCUUAUUUUAGUUUACAUAGUACACCGUGACUGCGACUCGACCAUAUGUACAGACAUACCUGUUCCACAAUUCAGGUCGGCAUGUGGAGUACACCGACGAGGAUGAGCGCGUUCCCAGCUUCCUUGAAAGAACCCCCGCCUGGUUUAGCCUCUAUUUCAGUUCACCCGAGCUGUGCGACGCGUCGUAGGAGAGAGCUGUUCGGCAGUAGGAAAAAAGAAGCACGGUGGUGGCCAGCUAACUGAUAACACAUACAACCGACUCGCCAUGGUAUUUUCUAGGAAUUUUGGGGAGGGAAAAGAUGUAGGUGUCAACCCUAGCUUUCCCUCUCACUGGAGCGCGCUCUCUCUCUCUCUCUCUCUCUGUACUCUCGCUCGAACGAUCAGAGGAAGAAGAAAGGAGGGACACACGGGACACGGUGGAUUUCCGGCGCACAUUCGCCUGCUGCACGAACGGCAAUUUCCUCGAGCACGAACUCAGACUCCACGGCAAUUACAACGAUCGUCCAGGGGCUUUUAUACCUUGGCCGCGCUGGGGCAUGAUCCCGACGUUUCCUACCCAGCCGGGGGCCCGAUCAGCCCGCUCCGCUCGCGCCCACCAUGCGCACGUCCGCGAACGGGUCACGGCGAGCCCGCAGCGAUCUCCAACGCUCACCCCCAUGAUCAACUAACUGCCUAGACCUAGUCUUUACACCCGCCCGAGCUACGCACACACACACACGCUAUCUGGACACACCCCAGAUAAUGGCCAUAGCCAAGUCAGACCAUAUGCCCGGAC